UUACGCCCAUAUCAAGUUGAAACACCGGUUUCCGUACGAUCAUAGAAAUUAAGCAACGUUGAACCUAGCCAGUACCUGGAUGGGUGACCACUUGGCAAUACCAGGCGUAGCAAG